UACGUAGGGGGCAAGCGUUGUCCGGAAUCAUUGGGCGUAAAGAGCGUGUAGGUGGCUCGGUAAGUCCGCUGUGAAAGUCCAGGGCUCAACCCUGGAACGCCGGUGGAAACUGUCGAGCUAGAGUCCGGAAGAGGCGAGUGGAAUUCCUGGUGUAGCGGUGAAAUGCGCAGAUAUCAGGAGGAACACCGAUGGCGAAGGCAGCUCGCUGGGACGGUGCUGACACUGAGACGCGAAAGCGUGGGGAGCAAACAGG
rnacentral:rRNA from 1 species